rnacentral:rRNA from 1 species
UGGGGAAUAUUGCACAAUGGGCGCAAGCCUGAUGCAGCGACGCCGCGUGGGGGAUGACGGCCUUCGGGUUGUAAACUCCUUUCGCUAGGGACGAAGCUUUUUGUGACGGUACCUAGAUAAGAAGCACCGGCUAACUACGUGCCAGCAGCCGCGGUAAUACGUAGGGUGCGAGCGUUGUCCGGAAUUACUGGGCGUGAAUGGCUCGUAGGUGGUUUGUCGCGUCGGCUGUGAAAGUCCGGGGCUUAACUCCGGGCGUGCAGGCGAUACGGGCAUAACUUGAGUACUGUAGGGGUAGCAGGAAUUCCUGGUGGAGCGGUGAAAUGCGCAGAUAUCAGGAGGAACACCGAUGGCGAAGGCAGGUUACUGGGAAGUUACUGACGCUGAGGAGCGAAAGCAUGGGUAGCGAACAGG